CCGGUGCUGCAGGAGGUGGCGGAUUUCUUCAGUGGCCACGGAAUCGAGGACUUCACCUUCAGCAGGGGCAGGCUGGUAGGACAGGAGGAACAGCGACAAGCGACGGGAUGAAGCCCGGCCAUGGAAAACCACCGCAGCCUUCAAGACCUCGACGGCGGUCGGUGCUAUGGGGAUCCUAAUCAACAUGCAGUUCCCGGGGCCGCAGAUCGACGCCGUCACCAACGACAACAUCGUCAUCAAUGUCUUCAACAACCUGAUCUGAUAUUGUUCUGAGAUCCAGUGGCAUCUCUAUCCUCUUACAACUAAUAACAUUUUUUAACUUCUUUUGGCCGUGCUUUUGCUUUCACUACAGAUCAGAUCAGUGGUGAAAGAAAGAAACAAGUGCACAACUAGUAUCAGUGGGCUUGUAUUUUUCUUGUGUAGCUGCUCUGCACUUGUUGUAGAGCAUAGCUUGCAUCAGUAUUUUUACCUAUUUUUGACCUCUCAUUCUGAAAUACAUCUAGCAGGUGCGGCUAGUACUCUAUUAUUCUCCUACAUAUAGCUAUAUAUGCAUAUAAAAGGGCAAGUACUUGGAUGACCUUGACAACAUCAUACUGAUUGUAAUAACUUUGCAUAAGACUUUGUAUUCGAAGACUUCUCGCAAUUUAUCAUGCAAUUCUAAACAAUAGCAUAUAUCUAUCUACCCUGCUGGGAAUUUUCACUUUAUAUAAAAAUUUGAGAGGCAAAUGCUGGGAGUUCCAGUCUUGUCUGAUGGCUAGGAACUCAACUCUGCUUCUUGUUGUUGGAGUUUCAGGCUUGUUGCAUAGUUCGUAGCUUCAAGUGUACUCUGGCUUCUAGCCACAGUGCACUACAAAUUAUUAUAGAAUUACAAAGUGUACACAACAUUGCACCUUACACAUUCUUCUCUUGUGAAAUCAACUGCCAUGACUGGGCAUUCUUUUAUCAACUUGUUGUACACUUGCUCUGCUUUAGGCUAAUGUAUAACUUGUGCCUUUUAACUUGAUGUACAUAACAUGCAAUUUUUUUACUGUAUCACAUUCACACAUGAUACUCUUAAUAUAGAGUUGUUUUCCAAGCUAGUUCUGUUUACUCUUAAUAUAGGUCUAUUUGUCACCAAUACUUGCCUGCUAUGCUAUAGUAGACCUUGUUCAUAUUUAUUAGCUAAGUUUGCUUGUCCUUGGUAUCUAUAUGCAUGCCAUUUGUGUUUCAGGCUUUCUCUGAAAUGAAAUAAUAGGUCUAUUAGUCACCAAUACUUGAGUUAAUCUAACUCCUUACCUGCUAUGCUAUAGUAGGCCUUGUUCAUAUUUAUUAGCGAAGUUUGCUUGUCCACAGUGAUCCAUAUACAUGCCAUUUGUGUUUAACGUUCUUUGAAAUGAAAUAAUAAGAUUCACACUCCAUGGACCAGGAUGACCACCGGGACCUCCACGGCGAUGAUGAAGCCUGCACAUGGCCGAGCUCGAUGGAACAACAGUGCCUCAGUGUGGUGCAGCCGAGUUGGGCCACUCCAGUGCAUCAGGAACUCUGCAUGUUGCUGUCCUUUGUCUCAUCAUCUUAACUACUACAGUAGUAGGAGUAUUUUAUAUGCUGUUCAUUUCUUGGCCACCCAGCAUGUUUGCUAAUCAUCCAUCUGCCUCAUGUUAUAUGAUCCCUACCUAGUAACUUCAUUGUAUGCAGACUUGUGGUGUUGGUUCAGUUUAGUCAAAUUAAUAUA